CCAAUUGCUAUAAAAGGUGAAGACGAGGCUGUAGAUGCUAGCACGUCUGCGUUGUUGGAUACAGCAUGGAGUUUCUGUGUGGCAACGAAAGUUUCUGGAAUGCUUCAGCAGCUUGGGAGGGACAAUGGCCGCAGGUGUCAAGAUGUUUCCAGAAUACUGUGCUAGCCUGGACACCUUGCUGCCUCUUAUUGGUGACAGCUCUUGCCUACUUCCCGUGGAUCACAUACAGAAGAGAAGAAGCUCUCCCCCACAACUGGCUUUUCUGGGCAAAGCAGAUGAGCGGUGUUCUGUUGUUGACGCUGGAAGCCAUGAGACUGCUGUAUGUCGUUGCUGAAGGUUUUAACGACGAGGAAGGUCUCAAUACAAUGUCUGAUGUCAUAGCUGCUGGUGUUCGCAUCCUGGCAACCAGUCUAGUGUUGGCGGUCGUUGCUGUAGAAAGACAUGCUGGUGUAAGAGCUCCACUGUGUUGUUCCUGUACUGGCUGGUCGUCGUGAUCGCUGAUGUUGUACCCUUCUACACCAUUAUCUUGGAGCAGGGCCUCACUCAGAGUCUCGUGACAUCUGCCAUCUUUUAUGUGACAUUCGCAUUAAAACUUUGCCAGUUGGGUCUCCACUGCAUCGCCCACGUCACCGGCUCUUCAACAUCAUGCUUCUCCAGAGACCACGGCGUCUUUCCCGUCUUGGAUUACAUAUUCCUGGAUUAGCAGGUUGAUGUCUCGCGGCUUCCGAGAGGAGCUUCAGGAGAAGGACGUGUUUGAACUCAAGCCUUCCGACACAUCAUCAGCCAACGGACCUGUUCUGAUGAAAUCAUGGCGUCGAGAGCAAGAAAGAAGAGCUCUUCGAGGGAAGUCAACCUCACUUCAUGAUGUAGCGACGAGACAUUAAGAUCCAACUUCAGUGAAAAGACUCCUCUCCUCGCCACGAUCCACUUGAAUAAAAAUUGUUCUUGGAGAACAAGAGCUUCGGUAGUGAAGCAACAGAAAAAGGAAGAAGUUCUUCUACAGAGGCAAGGAAAGAUUAUGGAGCUGCCUGCAGGAGGAGGGAAAGCAAGGCCGACAGGUCCGUUGAGCGACAGCUUCGUUGUGGCGGGCGUUGGUGAGGACGUAUGUGGAGUGCACUUCUCGGCAACAUCUGGAAGCUUCCUCACGACCUCCUUGCUGUUCUCAACCCGCUGUUGCUCGGCGAAAUGAUUGACCUCAACGACGACGACUCGAAGCCGGCCUGGCGGAUGUUCCUUGUGCUACU